CUACGACUGUUGAAAUCCAACACGACGCUCUUACCGACUUACACAACUGCAUGGGAAAGGGAGCGGGGAUAUACCAUUCCACGGGAAAAGUGGCUCACAGCCUUCAGUGCACAUAAAACCUUCACCCACUGCGUGUCCCACAUCGAACUUAUCAGGAAGAUUUUAACGAGAUGGUAUAUACCCUCGAAACUAGCCAGAGCAUAUAAAACCAUAGAAGACACAUGUUGAAGAUGUGUGGAGGGAAGAGGUAACAUGACACAUAUCUGGUGGAAGUGCUCAGCCUUACAACCCUACUGGGAUAUGGUGACCACUCUGCUGACGGAAGUAGUGAGCAACCCAAUACCUCGUUCUAUCGAGACUUACGUAUUGUUCAUGUUGCCCAAAACUCUAAUACCUGCUCAAAAAAACUUAGUCUUUCACAUCCUAAUUUCAUCGAAUCUGCUCAUUGCUAGGAAAUAGAAAUCAACCACAAUACCUAGCAUGUUGGAAAUCACUACACAAGUCACCACCAAUGGGCAAUACGAAAAAAUGGCCCACAUUAACUCCACAAGACCCCACAAAAAGCUGGAG